rnacentral:rRNA from 2 species
ACGGGAGGCAGCAGUGGGGAAUAUUGCACAAUGGAGGGAACUCUGAUGCAGCAACGCCGCGUGAGUGAAGAAGUAUUUCGGUAUGUAAAGCUCUAUCAGCAGGGAAGAAAAUGACGGUACCUGACUAAGAAGCCCCGGCUAACUACGUGCCAGCAGCCGCGGUAAUACGUAGGGGGCAAGCGUUAUCCGGAUUUACUGGGUGUAAAGGGAGCGCAGACGGCGUAGCAAGUCUGAAGUGAAAGCCUGGGGCUCAACCCCGGAACUGCUUUGGAAACUGCCAUGCUAGAGUGCUGGAGAGGCAAGCGGAAUUCCUAGUGUAGCGGUGAAAUGCGUAGAUAUUAGGAAGAACACCAGUGGCGAAGGCGGCUUGCUGGACAGUAACUGACGUUCAGGCUCGAAAGCGUGGGGAGCAAACAGGAUUAGAUACCCUGGUA